AGCACACUCGAGGAUCUCCGCGCUUUCCUCAACUUCAACCGGGACUUUAUGUGUGUCUUGCCGCUGCAGAUCUUGGUAUGUGCCUGUUUACCUACGUGUAUGUGCCUGCCUUGCCCCUACCGAUCUCUCCUCACUAACUGCCCAUCCAUCCUGCUCUUUGGCGCUCAACAGGAGGAUAGCUUGGUGCUCCCGCAAGCAAUUUGGGCUUCUAUCUUGAUGUAAGCAGUCACUAUCCCCUUCUCGGCUUCCAUUCAAAAUCACCUUGUUUCUAAGAUUAUUUGGGUUGUCAGCAGUUAAUAACUACUGUUACCUUCAACUAUAGUAGUAAAGGAAAAUGUAAAUGGUUAAUGUAGACACUUGUGUAUGUGGCUUUGCUUCAAACAGAAUAAGGCAAGCAGCAUUGUUAUGACCCCAAAAGGAUAGUUAAUGUGUGAUGUAAAUAAUUUACCUUUGGAUGAUAUGAAGAGAGGGCCACUCUGAAAUAUACGUGGUUAUGAGGUAAUUCGUUGCUAUGUGAUGCAUCGUUUGGUCCUGCUCCAGUGUUGUUUUGCCUUCUUUUACUCGGCUCAUGUUGCGUUUGGCUUGGAGACUACUGAAAUGGAAAUGUGUUGGAGCGAUUAUGUGUUGCAGGUAAAGAAACAAAUUUUCAUUUCGUUCGGCUUGCUAUUAAUUGUCACUUGCGUACACAUGAUUAGGUUGGUCACGGAUUUGUGCAGCUAGCUAGCAUUGCUAAUAUUGUGUGCUGCUCCAGAAAUAGAUCAAGUGAUACUUUAAAUUUUGUUCGUCUAAUGAUUUUUUUUGUUAUUUCCUUUUGAAUGCUUAGCCAUGCUCUGUUUCACUCGUGUGAAACUCAAGAUUUGAUAGUAGCACAUAAAUCAUGAUUUGACAAACAGUUUAAUUCCUAUAUUUUAGUAUAUCUUAUUAUCUUUUUUAUUUCUGUUCCUGAACUGAACUUUGGCCUUUUCUACAAAAUUAUAAGAGCAAUGAUGGUUCAGACAAAUGAUUAUGGUUGCUUAUUUAUUUUCUUGGUGUUAGAUUACUAAUGUAGAGGAAUAUAAUUAUAUGACUUUACCAUUAUUAUCAGGUGAGGAAGUGAUAGGUUUGGAAAAUGACAAUAGUUACCUAUCUCUCAUUCUCAUCUCUACUGUAUUCAUGUAAAUGCCCAUGUCUUUUUCCAUUAUUAUCAGUUGAUAUGUUCUUCAUUGCACAGAAAUCAUUCUUACCAUACUAUCAGAUAUUAUUAGCACAUGCUCUUUUGAGGGAAAUGGGGAUGGCACUAUCUCUCGGUCUUCUGCACAGAAAUAUUUAGAGUACAUUAUCUUUCAUCUUUCUGAUUAUAAAUUGUUGGAAUUUCUUAUGCUUUCAGGGAUGCAACUUGAUGUUUUAUUGUUGCCUUUUGAGGGAAAUGGGGAUGGCACUAUCUUUCAGUCUUCCUAAUUAGAUAUAAGCAACUGCUUACCCACACCGUAUAACUUCGGUUUGUUCCCUCACUGCAGCGUUACUCUGUUCCAUACACUAAGAAGCGUGAAGUGUGCCGGUUGCCACUCGCGUUGCUGCUCUCCCUGGAGGCGUCGUCAUCGACUGGAGGA
rnacentral:lncRNA from 1 species